rnacentral:lncRNA from 1 species
GGAGCCAGAGGCGGAGGCUGUUACCAACUGGCUACCUAGAUCCAAAUAUAAAAAAAAUCCGAGUCAGAGAAAUCAUCACGAUGAAGUCAGAGGCGAGAAACUGUCAGUGUAUACAGAGUCUUGCUCUGUCGCCCAGGUUGAAGUGCAGUGGUUCGAUCUCGGCUCAAUGCAACCUCUACCUCCCUGGCUCCCGCGAUUCUCCUGCCUCAGCCUCCUGAGUAGCUGAGAUUACAGGCGCCCGCCACCACCCCCGGCUAAUUUUGGUAUUUUUAGUAGAGAUGGGGUUUCACCAUGUUGGCCAGGCUGAUCUGGAACUCCUAGC